rnacentral:lncRNA from 13 species
UCUUAGUUUGUCUGCCUAGAGGCUGUUCUCUGUCUGUCUGACGGGAGGCUGCUAUCUGUCUGUGUGCCCGGGAGGCUGUUGUCUGUCUGCCGGGAGGCUGCUCUCUGUCUGUCUGCCGGGAGGCUGCUCUCUGUCCAUCUGCCGGGAGGCUGCUGUCUGUCUGCCGGGAGGCUGCUGAUGCUGCAGCAGCUCAGUGUUGCGUGGGCCGGAGGUAGCAGGAGUUAUGAGACAGACAGGGAAGACUAAUGGCCAUGCUAGGCAUUAUCUCAUAAAGAGUUGUGUGGCGCCAUGGAAUACUGAGGCCCCUGAUUCAGCACUGUGCCUGCUCUCUGCUUCUGGCAUCACAAUCACUCCACCAACCUUCUGUCUCUCUCUCUCUUCAAUCUCCUGUUCAAACCUUUGCCCAUUUCCACAUUCUCUCAUUCUCCGUCAAAGAUAUUGGACCUAACCUAUUUCCUAUUCUUUCUUUUACCUCAUCCUGUUCAAAGUUUCCGUCUGCUUAUUGCUAUUUCUGAACCACUUUACUUUUCCUUUUACCUCUCUGUAACAUUAGGCUGUAAACGUUUCUAUGUAGGCUAAUCUCCACUUCCAACAGGGUCAGGUCAGUUGUGUAUUUGCCUGUGUAAGCUGGUAGCUGUGUCACUGCUCUUGUGGGCGUGGUGAGUGUUUUGUUUUGACUCACAGUAUCUUCUCCCUGCCCUCUUACCUCUGCUCCUCUGCUCACUAUCCUGUUGGCUCCACUGUACCCUGCUGUUCAAACUCCAUUCUCAUCUCCACACUGCCAGCCCUGCCAGAGACCACGUCGCCAGCCUUUUGGAUUCUGUUUACUUGCUGUGGAGAGAGACAGAGACAGAGCCCCCAGGAGGAGGCUUUGCUGGGCUCGGCGGGGACAGGAUGGGCGUCCUCAGAGGAGCUAUCGGAUCAGGCCUCUCAGGCACAGCACCUGGAGCAGCUAGCCCAGCUCUGCAUCGUGAGUAAAAGACCUCAUCUUGCUUUAGAGUACAGUGGGAAAGCCACUAAGAUCCAUCAGAGGGCCUUUGGCAACGACCACCCCAUCACAGACAGGAGUCUGGAGCUGCUGGCCACCGUCUACGCAGAGAUCGGCAAGACAGAAUACUCAGACUCCCUGGACCAGUGUGUGUCAGUGCUGUCCAAGAGGUUUGCUGCUGCCGAGUCCUUCAGAGACAAACUCAACAACGGUCUUCCCCAUUCCCACUCCCAUUCCCAUCGGGAGAAACACACUGAGGUCUGGCACAGGAAAGACCCCAGUCCACAGGAUGACACACCAAAACCGAAGGUCACCAACGGUAAAAUCCCUACGUCCAUACUGAAGAGGUCUGGCUCAGGAUCAGACUCGGAGCCCAGCCACAGAUGGAAAGGCGAGCGACGGGUCCGGUUCCGGGAGCCUGAGACCACUGUGCAUGCCUAUGACACGUCACCGCCACGCCCCCACCUGGCCCUGUUCACCUGCUUGUUCCUGCUGAUGUCACUGCUGGGCGUGGUCAUGUACAGCACGGACCGCCGGCGCCCACAGCGUGUGUGUGAGGAGCUGGAGGCCUCAUUGGCUGUCUAUCUGAUACACAUGAAACAGCUGCUGUGGGGCUGCUGGAUCUGGCUAACCAUGCAGUGACUGGGAGCCACCGAAGGGGGAGAUGUGGAGUAGUGAAUUCACUCUCUUCCUCACUACAUGUCCCUUAAGGUGUCCUUACCCAGCUUGGUCCACGAGCACACCUCAGUCAUACACACUGACUAUCUAUCUAUGGUGUUGAGAUGUGCACCCCUACUGCUACGCUCACACCCAUAUAUGGAGAAAUGUGUAAUCUCAGAGAUACAGUACGUAUCCUCCACACCUGUACACUGGUGGUGGGUAUGCAGCCAUGUUUGUUUUAUCGAUAAGACGUUUUGCACAUCAGCAAUGUUGACGCUCACUGAUUAUGCUCACUUAAUUGCUACAAUCAUUUACAUUUUCCAUUCUUGACAAAAUCUAUUGUAUGUGAGUAAAUGUUUAAUGGAUUGCAAAAUCAAUUGUAUUUAUUUUAUUACAGUACUACAGUACGUAAUUUUGUGUACUUAAAAGAUUACUACAGAUAUGAAUGUCUAUAUACCGUAUAGUAAGGAUUAUCACAAUAUUACGCCUUGUUAUUGCACAUAAUUGAAUGUAGAAAAUGUGAAAACUGCUUUGAAUUGGCAAAAAAAAACACCCUUACUGUCUAAAAUAAGGAUUAUAGAUUGAGUCAAGCACAAUGUGAACACCUUUUAAAAAGGAUUUCUGAAACAGACACAGGACUGCUUCAAUUCACAGUGCCAGGUUGAUCUAGCAAAUUGUUUGACAAAGCCAUCUUUCUUUUACAGCAUAAGAACUGUAGUCUGACCAUUUUUAGGUCAGAUAAAUGUUGUGAUCCCAGUUGGACAAAGAUGACAACUUCAGCACAAUAAUAUGAAUGCUCUCUUUCCUGGGAAUGUACUCAAAUUCAAAGAGUGAUUAUGACAGUGUACCUCUUGGUAAAUGCUAAAAUGCCACAAGUAAUAUCCUCUUGUUACGGUGCGUGAAUGAGGACCCAAAAGCGAAUUAACGUAAACAGAGCUUCUUUAAUGACAAAACAUAGGUAGGCUCAGAUGGACCGGCAGAUUCCGACAGGACAGGGUUGCAGCAAACAUGACGAUAGUCUGGUUCAGGCAUGAAUAACACAAACAAGAAUCCGACAAAGACAGGAGCAAAAACAGAGAGAGAUAUAGAGGACUAAUCAGAGGGAAAAAGGGAACAGGUGGGAAAAGGGGUGACGAGGUAGUUAGGAGGAGACAAGGAACAGCUGGGGGAAAGAGGGGGAGAAAAGGUAACCUAAUAACGACCAGCAGAGGGAGACAGGGUGAAGGGAAAGGACAGAAACAAGACACAACAUGACAAUACAUGACAGUACCCCCCCACUCACCGAGUGCCUCCUGGCGCACUCGAGGAGGAAACCUGGCGGCAACGGAGGAAAUCCUCGAUCAGCGCACGGUCCAGCACGUCCCGAGAGGGAACCCAACUCCUCUCCUCAGGACCGUACCCCUCCCAAUCUACUAGGUACUGAUGACCACGGCCCCGAGGACGCAUGUCCAAAAUCCUACGGACCCUGUAGAUGGGUGCGCCCUCGACAAGGAUGGGGGGGGG